AGUGAACGCUGGCGGUAGGCCUAACACAUGCAAGUCGAACGGCAGCACAGUAAGAGCUUGCUCUUACGGGUGGCGAGUGGCGGACGGGUGAGGAAUACAUCGGAAUCUACUUUUUCGUGGGGGAUAACGUAGGGAAACUUACGCUAAUACCGCAUACGACCUACGGGUGAAAGCAGGGGAUCUUCGGACCUUGCGCGAUUGAAUGAGCCGAUGUCGGAUUAGCUAGUUGGCGGGGUAAAGGCCUACCAAGGCGACGAUCCGUAGCUGGUCCGAGAGGAUGAUCAGCCACACGGGAACUGAGACACGGUCCAGACUCCUACGGGAGGCAGCAGUGGGGAAUAUUGGACAAUGGGGGCAAGCCUGAUCCAGCCAUACCGCGUGGGUGAAGAAGGCGUUCGGGUUGUAAAGCCCUUUUGUUGGGAAAGAAAAGCAGCAGGUUAAUACCCCGCUGUUCUGACGGUACCCAAAGAAUAAGCACCGGCUAACUUCGUG
rnacentral:rRNA from 1 species